rnacentral:rRNA from 1 species
AGAGUCUACGGGAGGCAGCAGUGAGGAAUAUUGGUUAAUGGACGAGAGUCUGAACCAGCCAAGUAGCGUGAAGGAUGACUGCCCUAUGGGUUGUAAACUUCUUUUAUAUGGGAAUAAAACGUUCCACGUGUGGGAUUUUGUAUGUACCAUAUGAAUAAGGAUCGGCUAACUCCGUGCCAGCAGCCGCGGUAAUACGGAGGAUCCGAGCGUUAUCCGGAUUUAUUGGGUUUAAAGGGAGCGUAGGGGGAUUGUUAAGUCAGUUGUGAAAGUUUGCGGCUCAACCGUACAAUUGCAGUGGAAACUGG